rnacentral:lncRNA from 1 species
AAGAUCCCAAAUGCAUUCCAGUUCUGGCAGUCUAUGAUUUGAGCAUGGAGAAUUAUGGGGUUGCUUCAAGAAGAGGCUGGAAAGAAGGAUUAGCACAAGACCACAAGAUCACAAAAAGCCUUGCCCGCUAUGCUCAGGCACUUGAACUUUAGCUGUAGGAAGCCACAAAAGGGAGAUAAUAUAAGCAGGUCACUGGGCUAGCAAAGCACCCUGAAGAGUUGAAUGAAUGAAAAAUGCAUGAGAGGGGAGAGGAGUCCAAAGACAAAAUUAUUCCAUCAGUCCCCGAGCAGGAGGUAAGAAAAAUGGAUGGACAGUUGGAAAGGUGUGAGGGGAUAGCCUUCACUAGUCAUCAACUUCCAUUCUAUUGUGUUUUCUUUUGUUUUUCUUUGUCUUAUCAUUCCAUUCCCAUCUUCACAAAGCAGAAUAAAAAUGACUCUCUUCACUGUCCAUCAAUGUUGUUGAUCUAUUCCCUCACACCAGAGAAGCACAAUGGCACCACAGCAAAGGGCAUGUGAUCUUCAGCUAAUUAAUAAAGGCCCUGACAUUGUUCCCCCACCAGAUCAUGGCAAUGGUUGGCCGCCUGUCCUAGAAGGAUCCACACUUCCCGGUGACCCAGACAUCCCAAGCUCCCAAAUUAAGCAUCUGCACCUCCUUAAUCAGCUUCAAAGAGGGACUUUCAGAAUGCCACUGUUCCAGCAACUUCCUCAGCCACCAUACCUGCUCCACCAUCAGCUCAGCCAGGCAAGAAUUCCCACAGGUUUUUCAGUGGACUAUAGUUAAAGAUGAAAAAGUCACAUCCAGACCUCUGAUUUAUGACGUGGCAUGAACUCAACACUUUUCUCAUAUUCUUGAGUCCGACAAAAAUGAGCAAACACAGAUAUAUAAAACUGGGACUGAGAAAAUAUUGGGUGCCUCUCAAAACACCUACAUAGGACACUCCUUGACUAUCCUGCAACCUGGGGUGGUGGGCUCAGUGACAAGCAGGGCACUGUUCCCUUGACUGUGGCUAAGGACACGUUUCUGAAAAGAGUUGCCAGCCCACAUCACUGGUACCUGACUUCACUCUCAACCUUUCCUCCAAGCUGCUUAACCCUGGGUGUGUGUGUACAUAUGCAACUCCUCUACCAAGAACACCCUUCCCCCAACCUUUUUUUAGAUGUUCAUAAAUUCAGAUCAUUUUUUUGUCAAUCGAACAGAGGAAUGAGUGAAUGACAGCUGUUUCUUGCAAGCCAGCAUCUUGAAGUCAACUUUGCCUCAUAUAACAGCAACAAAAUAUUGGAUUCAGAGAAG